UACGGAGGGUGCAAGCGUUAUCCGGAUUUACUGGGUUUAAAGGGUGCGUAGGUGGGUCUGUAAGUCAGUGGUGAAAUCUCCGAGCUUAACUCGGAAACUGCCAUUGAUACUAUAGGUCUUGAAUUAUCUGGAGGUAAGCGGAAUAUGUCGUGUAGCGGUGAAAUGCUUAGAUAUGACAUAGAACACCAAUUGCGAAGGCAGCUUACUACGGAUAUAUUGACACUGAGGCACGAAAGCGUGGGGAUCAAACAGG
rnacentral:rRNA from 1 species